rnacentral:rRNA from 1 species
AUGAAGCCCCUGAUGGAAGCUGCGAUUGUUGAUGUAUGCAGCAACACAAGCACCUUGUUGUGCGGAAAGAUGGUGAUCGCAGACUUGGGCUGCUCCUCUGGCCCAAACGCGGUAGCACUGGUGUCGAUCGCCCUCGAGGCCACCCGCAACCACUUUCUUCAGUUGCGACAGACACCUCCGGAAGUCAGUCUACUCCUUAAUGAUCUCCCAUACAAUGACUUCAACGUAGUGGUGAAGAGCCAGGUUGCUCUCCGGCAAAUCAACGAGCCUGUUGUUGCAGCUGGUGCUGUACCAGGGUCAUUCUACGAGAGGCUCUUCCCUAGUGGCUCCGUGCAUCUUUUCUCUUCAUCCAACAGCCUUCAUUGGCUCUCAAAGGUAUGA